rnacentral:sRNA from 1 species
AGCGAGGCCGAGACCGGUGCCCUUAUCCCGCAUCGUCAUGUACGGCUCCAGAAUUCGGUGCCGGUUCUCGGUCGGAAGCCCCUUGCCGUUGUCGAUGACGUCGACCACGAAGCGGCCGGUGGUAUCAUCGCGACGGGAUCGGAUGACGACUGUGGGCGCGCCUCGUGACGUUCCCGC